rnacentral:tRNA from 1 species
CAAAAUGUAGCCUAAUUAAGGCACUUCGCUUACACCGAAUAGAUACCUGUUGAACUCAGAUCAUUUUGA